rnacentral:lncRNA from 1 species
AGCUCGAUUUUCCCCUGGAAUGUCAGUCAUGUACAGUUGUUACCAAGGCUACCUUAUGGCUGGAGAGGCACGUCUUAUUUGUACUCAUGAGGGUACCUGGAGCCAUCCUGCCCCUUAUUGCAAAGAGGUAAACUGUAGCUUCCCUGAAGAUACAAAUGGAAUCCAGAAGGGAUUUCAGCCUGGGAAAACCUAUCGGUUUGGGACUACUGUGACUCUGGAAUGUGAGGAUGGGUAUUCCUUGGAGGGAAGUCCACAGAGCCAGUGCCAGGAUGAAAACCAAUGGAACCCUCCGCUGGCUAUCUGCAAAAACCGUAGGGUCAACUGUUCCUCUUUCAGGUAUUUCUGCAGGCUCAGCAUUUAUCAUUUUGAUUAGUGUCAUCUUCUUUAUAAUAUUAAAAUCCAGAGAGCGCAAUUAUUAUACAAAAACAAGGCCCAAAGAUGGAGCUCUUCAUUUAGAAACGCGAGAAGUAUAUGCUGUUGAUCCAUACAACCCAGCAAGUUGAUCACAUGACAAAUCAAGAUAUAGAACUCUCAGCGACCUCUUCAGCACAAUAUCUGCCUACAUGCCACCAAGCUACCCUCCAUGACAACAAUGGACUGUUCUGAUCUAUAAGCCAGCCCCAAUUAAAUGUUUUUCUCU